CUACGUGCCAGCAGCCGCGGUAAUACGGAAGGUCCGGGCGUUAUCCGGAUUUAUUGGGUUUAAAGGGAGCGUAGGCGGACUGUUAAGUCAGCGGUUAAAGAGUGUGGCUCAACCAUACGAUGCCGUUGAAACUGGUAGUCUUGAGUGCACACAGGGAUGCUGGAACUCGUGGUGUAGCGGUGAAAUGCUUAGAUAUCACGAUGAACUCCGAUCGCGAAGGCAGGUGUCCGGGGUGUAACUGACGCUGAGGCUCGAAAGUGUGGGUAUCAAACAGGAUUAGAUACCCUGGUAGUCCACACAGUAAACGAUGAAUACUCGCAGUUUGCGAUAUAAUGUAAGCUGCCAAGCGAAAGCAUUAAGUAUUCCACCUGGGGAGUACGCCGGCAACGGUGAAACUCAAAGGAAUUGACGGGGGCCCGCACAAGCGGAGGAACAUGUGGUUUAAUUCGAUGAUACGCGAGGAACCUUACCCGGGCUUGAAC
rnacentral:rRNA from 1 species